rnacentral:rRNA from 1 species
AUGCUGGAGGUAUCAGAAGUGCGAAUGCUGACAUAAGUAACGAUAAAGCGGGUGAAAAGCCCGCUCGCCGGAAGACCAAGGGUUCCUGUCCAACGUUAAUCGGGGCAGGGUGAGUCGACCCCUAAGGCGAGGCCGAAAGGCGUAGUCGAUGGGAAACAGGUUAAUAUUCCUGUACUUGGUGUUACUGCGAAGGGGGGACGGAGAAGGCUAUGUUGGCCGGGCGACGGUUGUCCCGGUUUAAGCGUGUAGGCUGGUUUUCCAGGCAAAUCCGGAAAAUCAAGGCUGAGGCGUGAUGACGAGGCACUACGGUGCUGAAGCAACAAAUGCCCUGCUUCCAGGAAAAGCCUCUAAGCAUCAGGUAACAUCAAAUCGUACCCCAAACCGACACAGGUGGUCAGGUAGAGAAUACCAAGGCGCUUGAGAGAACUCGGGUGAAGGAACUAGGCAAAAUGGUGCCGUAACUUCGGGAGAAGGCACGCUGAUAUGUAGGUGAAGUCCCUCGCGGAUGGAGCUGAAAUCAGUCGAAGAUACCAGCUGGCUGCAACUGUUUAUUAAAAACACAGCACUGUGCAAACACGAAAGUGGACGUAUACGGUGUGACGCCUGCCCGGUGCCGGAAGGUUAAUUGAUGGGGUCAGCGCAAGCGAAGCUCUUGAUCGAAGCCCCGGUAAACGGCGGCCGUAACUAUAACGGUCCUAAGGUAGCGAAAUUCCUUGUCGGGUAAGUUCCGACCUGCACGAAUGGCGUAAUGAUGGCCAGGCUGUCUCCACCCGAGACUCAGUGAAAUUGAACUCGCUGUGAAGAUGCAGUGUACCCGCGGCAAGACGGAAAGACCCCGUGAACCUUUACUAUAGCUUGACACUGAACAUUGAGCCUUGAUGUGUAGGAUAGGUGGGAGGCUUAGAAGUGUGGACGCCAGUCUGCAUGGAGCCGACCUUGAAAUACCACCCUUUAAUGUUUGAUGUUCUAACGUUGACCCGUAAUCCGGGUUGCGGACAGUGUCUGGUGGGUAGUUUGACUGGGGCGGUCUCCUCCUAAAGAGUAACGGAGGAGCACGAAGGUUGGCUAAUCCUGGUCGGACAUCAGGAGGUUAGUGCAAUGGCAUAAGCCAGCUUGACUGCGAGCGUGACGGCGCGAGCAGGUGCGAAAGCAGGUCAUAGUGAUCCGGUGGUUCUGAAUGGAAGGGCCAUCGCUCAACGGAUAAAAGGUACUCCGGGGAUAACAGGCUGAUACCGCCCAAGAGUUCAUAUCGACGGCGGUGUUUGGCACCUCGAUGUCGGCUCAUCACAUCCUGGGGCUGAAGUAGGUCCCAAGGGUAUGGCUGUUCGCCAUUUAAAGUGGUACGCGAGCUGGGUUUAGAACGUCGUGAGACAGUUCGGUCCCUAUCUGCCGUGGGCGCUGGAGAACUGAGGGGGGCUGCUCCUAGUACGAGAGGACCGGAGUGGACGCAUCACUGGUGUUCGGGUUGUCAUGCCAAUGGCACUGCCCGGUAGCUAAAUGCGGAAGAGAUAAGUGCUGAAAGCAUCUAAGCACGAAACUUGCCCCGAGAUGAGUUCU